CCAGGGGUUUGCAAAUUCUGAGCCUCCUGUUGGUGUCAAGGAAUCAAAAUAGGUAAAGUUAAUGUCAUGGCAGCGUCUUCGCACACAGCUCUAAAUCUCACUCACUGAUCAGUGAGGAGUCCCAGGGGCACUGCAUGGGGACCUGUGAACACUUGGAGAAACACUGGUCUAUGGGUUUGUGAUGCUAAAGGGGUGAAGUUAAAGCACAUAACGGACGGCACCUUCAGGCUCAGUUUUCACUACUCAGUUUCAAUCUGGGGUUGGUUUCAAACAAUAAAUAGGCUGAAAGGCUGAGAGCUGACUGGCUUCCAUGGUAUCAGUGUGUUCAUGGCGAGAAAUUGCCGGAUACGCAAGGGCUCUUCGGUCUAGUGCAGCCCUGAGCAAAAUACAGCCCAUGGGCCGGAUACAGGUCGCCAGGCCAUUUGAUCCAGCCAACUGAUGCUUGGAGAGCAAUGGGCUACUUCUGUACUUGCCACUUCCCACCUGCAAGCCACUCAGAAAGUGAGAGUGACCUGGAGGUUAAGGGGAAAGGCUUCAGGCACUGCUUCCACCUCCAGGACAAUCUCAUUGGCUGGUUUCUGGCCAGAAAGGAAGCACCGUGCCCUCUCCCCUCCAGCUCAUAGGUAUUCUCACACACAUGGCCCCGCAGCUUGUGCAAGGGUUGGACAGGCUCCUUACCUGCCUCGGAGAGGUGCUUGGCUGCUGGCCGGGAGGCACUCAGGUAAGUCUCCUGGCCAAAGCUUGCCUCUGGCACCCCAACCUCUCCCUUCCCCUCCUAAUUCUCUGCCCCCCACUCCUGCCUCCCGCUCCACAUAUCCACACUCUCUCUUCCUGCAUCCACGUAUGCAAGAAUCUCUUCAUGGUCAGAAACCCUCACCCUUAUUUGUCCACUCAGCCACUUUUCUAAAUUAACUUUACUUUAAAUAUUUCAUGAGUAGUUGGCUAAUCCAGUGCCCCAGAUCACAUCUGCUUCCUUCACCCAAACUCCUUCCCAGACCCCUUUUUCCCUCCUGCAUUCCAAAGCCUCUCUCAAAGCUCCCUUCUUCUCCCAGUGUCCAUCUCAUACGCUGUAUUUCCUGGUUAAUGUCUUGGAAGAGUGCAGCUCUCAACCACUUUCCAAAAUCUUGGAGUCUCUCCCCUCCCCCCCAUCAAAUGAAUUGCCCACCCCUGGUCUAGUGGAUACAGUUCAGUGAGAGUUAAUAACUGAAAGCUGCAGCUGGACAAUUUCAGGCUAGAGAGGAGGCACAAAUGUUUGAUGGGUAAGAGAAUUAGCUGCUGAAACAAAUGAGCAAAGAACUGAUGGGUUCUCCAUCUCUUGAUGUCUUCAUAUCAACACUGGACGACUUUCUAGAAAAUAUGCUGUGGGGAAACAGAACUUUGUGCCUAAGUAGCUCGGAUAGGUGUAAUGGCUUAUGCCACAGAGGGGACAGACUGCAUGGCUAAGGAUAUUUUGUGAUGCCAUGAAUCCAUUAAUUUUAAGGUCUUAUCCUGAAAACAUUCAGCACACGUGUUUAAUAAUAUGUAUAUGAAUACUCAUAUUAACUUCACUUCCUCUCUGUUAUGGAAGUCUGUGUCAGAGGAGAGAACCAAAGUUUGGGCUGCAAAUCAAUGCAUGAAGACUAAGGAUUAUAAAUAUUGCAGCCCAAAUUAAAUUAAACCUAUGUCCAUGUUCAGGCAGAUGAAUAUGUGGCUUGUUAGCAGAAACAACUGGAUGCUGAAAACUGAAUCCCAUUGUUGCAGGCAAACUAAUGUAACUCAAGCCAGGUAUUGAGAGAAAUAAAUACGGCCUUUGGAUCUAACUUGUGUGUGGUGUUUAUGGAAUAUCUAGACUCAGCGUAGAGUCCAGCAUGUUUUUCACCAAGGACAGAGUCUGGGCAGAAUUGGGGUGUGGAAAGGAUUAAAGCUCUUUUUGAAAUGUCUCCAAUUCCCCUUCUCCUUCUGACUGCAGAACACCCAUGUCUGACUCCAGCUCAGCGCCUGGCCUGCAGAGCCAGGGACAGGAAAUGGCUGUGGCGAAGCCAGUGAGCUUCGAGGAGGUGGCUGUGUAUUUCUCUGAAGAGGAAUGGGCUCUACUGGACCUGGGCCAGAGAGCCCUCUACAGGGAUGUGAUGCAGGAGAAUUACGAGGCUGUGUGCUGGCUGGCCAAGGUCUCGUGGUUCCCACCUUCUUGCCCAUGUUGUGCCUUGGCCGGAGGCAUCAGUGGAAGGGCCCAGGCAGGAACAAAGGUACCAGAGUAGUGGAGCUGGGUGCAGCUCUUCUUAGCAUCUGCAGAGUCCCCUUGUGCUAUUGUGCUGAGCCCCUGGAAGGAAGGCACCAACUCAGAGUCCUUCCCUGCUUCUGGUAGAUUCUGUGCAAGCCAGAGGGGCACCAAACGGCAGGCCCGACUGGCCACAAGAGGAGGGCUGCUGCUGCUGGCAGAGUAGA